rnacentral:rRNA from 1 species
CUGGCGGUGCGCCUUAUGCAUGCAAGUUGAGCGAAGCUUUUUGGUAGUUUACUACUAGAAAUGACUGAGCGGCGAACGGGUGAGUAACGCGUGAGCAAUCUACCUUAGUUACUGGGAUAGCCCGAGGAAACUCGGAUUAAUACCGGAUAUUCUUAUUUUUUCACAUGAAGUUUUAAGGAAAGGUCAGCCGAACUAAGAUGAGCUCGCGUUCUAUCAGCUAGUUGGUGGGGUAAAAGCCUACCAAGGCUACGACGGAUAGCUGGUCUGAGAGGACGAUCAGCCACACUGGGACUGAGACACGGCCCAGACUCCUACGGGAGGCUGCAGCAGGGAAUAUUGUGCAAUGAGCGAAAGCUUGACACAGCGACACCGCGUGUGGGAUGACGGUUCUAGGAUUGUAAACCACUUUCAGGGGGGAAGAAAAUGACGGUACCUCCACAAGAAGACCCGGCCAACUAUGUGCCAGCAGCCGCGGUAAUACAUAGGGGUCAAGCGUUGUCCGGAUUUAUUGGGCGUAAAGAGCUCGUAGGCGGUUCAACAAGUCGGUCGUAAAAGUUUAGGGCUCAACCCUAAAAUGUCGAUCGAUACUGUUGUGACUAGGAUACGGUAGAGGUGAAUGGAAUUCCGAGUGUAGCGGUGAAAUGCGUAGAUAUUCGGAGGAACACCAAUUGCGAAGGCAGUUCACUGGACCGUGAUCGACGCUGAGGAGCGAAAGCUAGGGGAGCAAACAGGAUUAGAUACCCUGGUAGUCCUAGCUGUAAACGAUGGAUACUAGAUGUAGGAACUGGAUUGACGGUUUCUGUAUCGUAGCUAACGCGUUAAGUAUCCCGCCU